UUGUAUUCCCUUUCUAAACCCUAGCCUCCCCUUCCUCUUCUACAUUAGUCAUCGCAGCCAUCACUAAAUAAGAUUAAGAUCUCGAUCAACCAUUACAGGUAUGUUCUUGAUCUUCGGGUCCGUAUUUUCAUUCUUGGAUAUCCAGCUUUUUACUCGAUCUUAUAAACAAAUAGACGCACACAUCAAAAACCCUAAAAGCUCCCACGUUCUUCUUAAAUCGCCUGACAAAGGAUUCCAAAAUCAAACCGAUUCACUUCCAGAGGAAGAUGGUGACGGUGGUGGUCACCUGAAGAGGGAAGACGACAACGACAUGGGUUGACAAAUGGGAAAGUGCUUCGUUUGAGAGAGUUAGAAGAUGUAUCAGUUGAAUAGAGUUAGAAGAUGUAUCCGUUGAAAGAAGAGGCUGCACACUUUAUUCAUGCUCAUGUGUAAGUCCUAACCUUCAUAUUCAAGAGUGGGCAAAAGAAGCAUCAGAAAUUUCUAAAUGCCAGCCAAAUGUAUGAUGUCUUUCUAUGCUUCUUUAGUGAGAUGUUUUAGUAGAGCUGGCAUGAUGUGUUUGGUCGGGUUAGUUGGACAAGGUUGAGAUAUGUUGAAGUUUUGUUUUGUAUUCUCUUAAUGUUGAUGUAGUUCUUCUGGUAUUAAUCAUGUAUAAUUUUCUUCUUCUUUUGUUUUUAUCAGAUCAAUAAAUGAUAACUAACAAAUCAUUCAUUUCAGAUUUGCUUCUUUGGCAAUUCCUUACUUCGGUUUGUAAAGCAGAUUAUAUUACCAUUCGCCAUGGGUUCAUUUAUGUAAGUCCAAUUUCUUUCACCAAAAAUAUAUUAUUUCAAAAUAGUUUAUGUUAGAGCUGACAAAAUGUGCAAGUUGGGGAAACACUUUUUUUUGGAGAUUUAAUGUAUCAAUGUGAUAAAGCUUUUUAAUAGUUUUAAUGAAAAUAUAAUCUUUUAAUAAAUUUUAAAAUGAUUCAGAGGUUUUAACAGCUAAAAACUAUGCUUUGUAUUUUAUCUAACUCAUUAGAGUGUAAUGGUUAAAACAUAACCCGACUCAACCCAUUUGUUACAAAAAAGGCUCGAUAUUUUGCUGCAAGCAGGUCUGGUCCAUGUUUCAGUUUUGGUGAACUUGGGAUAAAUGAUAUGAUUAAUUCCAUCUCAACCUUUCAACUUGUUUGAUGGUGUUAACAUAUUGAAAAUAAUUCUUGUGAAUGGUUGUUAUAAUAAUGUUGUAAAUCUUAAUAGAUGAUUGUGUGAAGAUUUUUUAUAGAACUGCUUUGACCCGUUAUCUAGAUUAAAGCAAAUAUUAUGAAGUCAGACAAAGUUGUCAAGGGUUCUAGAAGCACAAAAAAAUCACAUAAAAGAUCAUACAAAAAGGUCACUUAUUUUGACUUCAAAAGUCAAUACCUGAAGCUCAAAGUGGGUUGCAUUACAAUGGUGAAUUCCUUCAACACUACCCUUAGCGAGUACACAAUUGAUCAUUACUGAGAGUCUAAGAUCAGCCAUGAUGCUCCCACUUGAUAAAGUCAGCUCUUAGUUGUGACAUAUCCACAGAUCUUGGGAUGUGUUGACUGGAUGGGCUCAAGUCAAAGUAAGUUGGCAUGUUGAUUGAAACUUUAGUUAUGAACCAUUUAGGAUUGAACUUUAUGUAAAUUGCUUAUGUUUUGAAAACGAUGUGGUAGAUAUUCUAUUUUACUACAUGAAGCAUUGUUUUAUGAUGAAUUUGAAAACUACAGUGGAUAUAUACAAUUUGUCAUUUUGCAAGCAUUUGUGUUAAAUAUGAAUGAAUAUAUAUG